rnacentral:rRNA from 1 species
AUUGAACGCUGGCGGCAUGCUUUACACAUGCAAGUCGAACGGUAACGCGGGGCAACCUGGCGACGAGUGGCGAACGGGUGAGUAAUGCAUCGGAACGUGCCCGGUAGUGGGGGAUAACUGCUCGAAAGAGCAGCUAAUACCGCAUACGACCUGAGGGUGAAAGGGGGGGAUCGCAAGACCUCUCGCUAUCAGAGCGGCCGAUGUCGGAUUAGCUAGUUGGUGGGGUAAAGGCCCACCAAGGCAACGAUCCGUAGCUGGUCUGAGAGGACGACCAACCACACUGGGACUGAGACACGGCCCAGACUCCUACGGGAGGCAGCAGUGGGGAAUUUUGGACAAUGGACGCAAGUCUGAUCCAGCCAUGCCGCGUGCGGGAAGAAGGCCUUCGGGUUGUAAACCGCUUUUGUCAGGGAAGAAAUCUUCUGGGUUAAUACCUCGGGAGGAUGACGGUACCUGAAGAAUAAGCACCGGCUAACUACGUGCCAGCAGCCGCCGUAACAC